GGUGUGUAGCUCAGUGGUAAAGUACACGGUUAGCAUGCAUGAGACCCUAGGUUCCAUCCCUAGCACCA
rnacentral:tRNA from 1 species